UACGAGUGCCCCAAGCGUUAUCCGGAAUCAUUGGGCGUAAAGGGUGUGUAGGUGGCGUGAUUAGUCCUCUGUCAAAUCUCCCGGCUUAACCGGGAACUUGCCGAGGAAACGGUCAUGCUCGAGGGUGCGAGGGGUGAAUGGAACUCAUGGAGUAGGGGUGAAAUCCGUUGAUAUCAUGGGGAACACCAAAAGCGAAGGCAAUUCACUGGCGCAUUCCUGACACUGAAACACGAAAGCGUGGGUAGCGAACGGG
rnacentral:rRNA from 1 species